GCCCAGCAGGACCAGCGCCUGAGGUGGGGGCACCAAUGCCAGUGUUGGAGGGGUUGCUCAGGAUGAAGGUGUGGCCGUAGGUGGGGAAUCCAACGAUGAGCUUCUCGGCUGGGGCCCCAUUUUCCUUCCAGUACUUCAUGACGUAAUCCUGCAAUGGCAGCGGGUUAGCUGAGGCUCCACCCAGCUGAUGACCCAAUACUUAGUGACAUUAGUCCGCUGUUCUAACAGGCAAGAUUGUGUGAGGUUAAUGACAGAUAGGUAGUAUGUUUUUGAAACAUUUUGGUGAAAUCAUAGUUAAUGGGAUAUGAUCAGCCACGAAGGAGGAUAGUUAUCCAAGGGAAACAUUUGCAGAAUUUUCUUUAUGCCUGAAUCUCCAUGUGAUUUACAACCUCCUCUCUGGUCUUCAUGCGCAUGUGUGCAGAGACUUACCACAUUGAGGACCAUCACCUAGGUGGGAAUCCUGCACCAACACUUUCCCAUUCCCAUGGUCAUGCAGUAGUUGGGACACUUCAUUCGCACCAGCACCAGGUUUUCAAAAUCCGGGCUGUAUUUCACACUUAAACACACAUCUCAGUUUGGACCAGCCAUAUUUCAAGUGCUCACUAACCACCUGGGACUAGGAGCUCCCAUAUUGGACAGCCCAGCUCUGAAGAGACCAGCAGGGAGCUCAGAUCUGGUUCUUCCAGGCUUCCGCAGGUUUCCCCGACCAGGACCUAAUGCCAUGCCCAGCCUGCCGGAGAGAUGGGGAUUUCUUCACCGGGCCCACCCGAUUUUGUCGCGUUCGGUCCCAUUCUGCCUCGCCGGCAGGCCAGCUUCCCUGCGGCCACUUCAGCUCUGCAAGGCUCUCAGCCUUUCUGCACCAGUAAAAUUGGGGAAGAUCACCAUGACUACCUCAGCGGGUCCUUAAGAAGAUUCAAGAUGUUUGUUGAGUGCUGAGUACAUGGUCAGCUUAAAGGGUGCUGUGUAAGUAAGUGUUGGGUAAAUAAAUAAAACAGCA